rnacentral:rRNA from 1 species
AUUGAACGCUGGCGGCAGGCCUAACACAUGCAAGUCGAACGAGUGGCGGACGGGUGAGUAAUGUCUGGGAAACUGCCUGAUGGCGGGGGAUAACUACUGGAAAAGGUAGCUAAUACCGCAUACCAUCAGAUGUGCCCAGAUGGGAUUAGCUAGUUGGUGGGGUAAAGGCUCACAAAGGCGACGAUCCCUAGCUGGUGUGAGAGGAUGACCAGCCACAUUGGAACUGAGACACGGUCCAGACUCCUACGGGAGGCAGCAGUGGGGAAUAUUGCACAAUGGGCGCAAGCCUGAUGCAGCCAUGCCGCGUGUAUGAAGAAGGCCUUCGGGUUGUAAAGUACUUUCAGCAGGGAGGCGUUACCCGCAGAAGAAGCACCGGCUAACUCCGUGCCAGCAGCCGCGGUAAUUC